UACGUAGGUGGCAAGCGAUACUCGGAAUCACUAGGCGUAAAGCGCAGGUAGGAGGUUUAGUAAGUCUGUUGUGAAAGCUCCCGGCUUAACUGGGAGAGGUCAACGGAAACUGCUAGGCUAGAGUGCGGUAGAGGAAGGUGGAAUUCCCGGUGUAGCGGUGAAAUGCGUAGAUAUCGGGAGGAAUACCUAUGGCGAAAGCAGCCUUCUGGGCCGUCACUGACUCUGAUCUGCGAAAGCUAGGGGAGCAAACAGG
rnacentral:rRNA from 1 species